rnacentral:tRNA from 1 species
AAUCAAUGAACUUGUAUAAGUGUAUACUUUGAAAGUAUAAAAAAGAGGAAUAACCCUCUAUUGGUUU